GGGCUUAAAUCAAUGAUUUAGUUAUUCUUUUCUCGUCAACUAACUCGUUAGAUGUCCUUAUAAGGUUCGGUACCCGGCGCCUCCACCAAAAACCGGUCGGUCUGUUCGGACCGGCUUUUGAUGGGGGCGAAAUAGGAUCGACAAGGGCGUAAAGAUCGAACUUUUGCUCGGCAUGAUACCGCCGUUAUCGGGUCACAAGUGUAGUUGCAAACGACAACAACGCUAAGGGUUAUGCUCUCGCUGCCUAAUGGCGGUGCGGGAAACCCGACCUAAGUCCUUGCGGUUAGCACCGUAAGGCGGGGUCCGAAGGCACCAGGCAACAGAAGCCUUCACC
rnacentral:tmRNA from 1 species